GUGCUGCUUGGUGGGCGCGGACUCCGGAUCCCGUGUGCCCCCCUCGGGAGGUCUCCCCCCACGCCCCCCACCGGUGGAGUCUGCGCAGAAGGCCGCCGGCGUGGGAGGGGUGCUGCGGCGGAUAACCACGAUGGGCUGAGAAGCGCUGAUCUGGGCCGAGUCCCACACAGUACUUCUCCCAUCAAGAAGUGGAAUGUAUUUCUCUAUCCCUUGGAUCUAGACUUGGCCAAGUGAUUUAGCAAAUGUCACCUAAGCAGAUGCUUGAAAAGAGGUGCUUUGCAACGUCUUCCCCUUUUGGUUCUCUUGUAGCCCUGAAACAACCAUGUGAAAGAGGUAUAAUCUGAACUUUACUCUUUGAUACUCGGAGCAGUACUUGCCAAAGCCCUCCAACCCAUUCACUCACCUUGUAGUCUUGGGAUACGUCUUCGAUGAGAGCUAUGUGGUGCCCCUUGUGCCGCGGUGACCGCUCACAGCGCCAGCAUAUGAGCUGGCUCUCGUCUUCGCAGAAGAGAUGGAGGUGCUCUCCGUGUUCCUCACAUGACAUUUCAUGUUCCAUCUCCUUGAUGGCUUCAAUGAGACUUCCCAGUUGCUUACUGGCCGGAGGCUGGACAACUGAAAUGAAGCCCGGCAGUGGGGACAGGGGAACAUAUUUGGCGAUGGUUCUGCGUGGCCUAGGUUCUCAAGGAAGCUGAUGAUGCACAGUGUACAGUAGCUAUGUCCACAGCUGAUGCUCAUAGGCUCAGACAUUAGUUGCAGGCAGAUAGCACAUGUGGCUUCCCCCUUCAUCCUCUUGGUGAUUGGGGCAGAAGCCAUGGCUUUUCCUGAUAAGUUCUAAUACUGGAUCUAGAGGCAGAGGUGAAAAUCCACAGGAAUGGAAUUAUACUUACUGGCUGCCACUGGCCUCCAUGGAUCUUGGAGUCUUCUCUCUAGAGAGAAGAAAUGGAUUGGAAUUUAGAUGGUACAUAAAAUGAGGCUGUGUUGUGGGAAAUGGUAGUGAUGAGCACAUGAGGGCACUUCUAUUUAAACGAAUUAAAAUUAAAUAAAACUUAAAAUUCAGUUUCUCAAUUCCAUAGCCAUAUACCAAAUGCAGUGAUAGAGACUGGUGGCUGCAUGAUAGGUGCUACACAACACUCCAGGGUUGCAGAAAGUUUUCUUAGAACAAGCACUGACAGAGAACAGGAAAGGCUUCCUCCUCAAAGUGGUAGCAAGAGAGAACUCUGUGAGGGUGUGUGAAACUCUUUCCUACUCUAAUGAACACCAAGAAUAACGAGUACCAGAACGAUUUCUUUGUGACUGGAAGUAACCCUGGGGUAACUGGGGCUACUGUGUAUGUUCUUUCAGAGGAAAGAUAUUGUUGUGGAUAUAAUAACUCAUUUUCUCAGAAGAAAUAGAUUUUUGCUUCCAUAUUAUUUCCUCUCUGGCCACAUAAAAAGCAGACUGAAUGGCAUAAGUUAAUUUAAUACAGUUUCAGGUGAAGUCUCCCACUAUUCCUGGGAUAGGAUAGCAGAAUAGGAUAGUCAAGAUCAUCUAAGAUUGGCUGUGGACAAUUGCAGUUGGUACUCUCCCCUACACAUUGGGAACCAUGUCAAAAUUUCAAGAAGUGCUACCAGAAAAAAUCUUGUUUGCCUAUCUCAAAAGCUGUUCCUACCUUUUCUCCUGAUGUAGAGCCUUUAUUUGCAUUCCAGGGGGUAGCCCCGACUCAUGUGACUUGAGAAAGAUACAUUACCCAUGCCCCAGCAAGAAAUUCUAAUUGAUUUAAGCCAGUCAGACAUUGUGAUCCAGUUUGCUUGUCAGUUAUCGUGUCUGAAGUGGGCAUGCCACUGCAUUUCUGCCCAGGGGGAUAUGAGAAACCUUCAGGUUCUUGGAGAAAAGGCUCUUCUCUUGUUAUCAGAGGCACAUAGAUGAACAGUCCCUCUCCUUCUGCUCAAUGCUGUUGUGUCUGAAUGGGGUCCUGAGAAGGCUGCGGGCAGCUUAUGACAUGAGAACUAAUCUGCAGAUGAGAGACAUGCCAAGCAUGGCAGAGAGGAAAGAGAAAGCUCUGGGCCACAGGCAGAGGCUUGUGUGGCGUGAACCGCAAAAGGAAAUUUUAAAGAAGUCAGCUGGAAGGGUAUCUGCAUUGGGCGACAUGGCUGGGUAGGCAUGCACAGUUUGCUGGACACGCACACAUACAAGCACACGUUUAUAUAUGUGCAGCAAAGAAUUUGGCAAAACAUCAUGUUCUUCAGUUUUCUUCUACUGUUGCAUGUAUGUAUAAAUUAUCUCCCUCAUGGGACAGAAUCUUGUAGUGCUGGGUUUCAGAAAUGAAAGUGAAAAUUAACCACUUUUAUCACUUUCAUUUACAAGUGAAAGGAAAAUUGUGCAAUGGCAACACUGAAAAAUUUCCCAGCCUGUCAUGGUCGCUUCCACUUUUAAGAACUUGGAGAUUACAUUGGGUCCACUUGGAUAAUCCUGGACACUCUGCCUGUUUCAAGAUGAGCUGAUUAGCCAUCUUAAUUCAUCUGUGACCUUAAUUCUCUUUCUGUAUGUAACAAAGCAUAGUCAAAAGUUCCGGGUAUUAGGGCAAAGACUCAGAUCCUUGCCAUCUUAAUCUUUCUUCCAUUUUAGGUUGAUUCAAAAAUUUAUCCAUUUGGUAAACAUUUGAGCACUUGCUAUGGAAAUGUAAAUGAGACAUAGGCCCUGCACCUCAAGGAAGUAAUGAUUUAGUAAUGUCUUCCUUACAAAAUGUUAUAAUAUGCAGCAUUCUAUUCAAUAAUAAGGGAGAUGUCAUUCUAAAUAGUCUAAAUAACCUGUUGCAGAUAUUCCAGAUGUGUAUGUGCAUGUUUUUCAUUUUACAGCUGACUAACUGAAAGUUUACUGAGGCAAAGCUACUCUUACCCAGGUGCGCAGCUGGGAAAACUAGUGAAUUGUGAUUUUCUUGCUUGUCCAAUGGUUUUUCCUCCAUAUCAGUGAAUGCUUUAUGCAUGAAGAAUCCGGGUCUUGUUUUUGUUUUAUAAUGACUUACAGACAUGUAAAACAAAAUACGAGCAGGGCUUUUCCUGUUUUCACAGAAUUUCAGCUGAGAAUGGUGGGUGACAGAUCCUCACUGAAUCUGUGAAGUUCAGUGACUGUCCUCGCCAACAGUCUAAAGACGAUAAAGACUUAUUGAAGUUUUCUUUGAAAUACAUCGAGAAUAUAUAUGUAUGUGAGUGCCUGUGAGUAUAUGAGUGGCUUUUCCUCCUUCCUCAUCCUGGUUGAGAGACACUUCCAUGACUACUGCCUAAAGAAUUCUAAAGGCGGGGCCUUGGCCAGAGUUACCCAUUAGCACGGCAAGGAGAAAGGGUAGCAGAAAAACAUGCCAGUUUGGGGGAUGUUUGGAUAUGUGAUUUCGUGGAUCAGUGGCUAUUGCACAGAGGAGCUAUGCCCGAGUGAACAGACAGGUCCCUCUCUGGAGGGCAGGGAACCUCAGCAGGGGCUUGUGUGGCAUGAACCCCACAAGGGAUUUUAAAAGAAGUCAGCUGGAAGAGUAUCUGCAUCAGGGGAUGCAAAAUCCUACCAGUGAGAUCCAAGAGAAAGCAUGCCUUAACAGGUGAACAACAGCUAUUUCUCAAGAAUGACAGUUACUGUGACCGUGCCCUUUCUCUGAGCCAGCAGCAGGAUGGAGAGGAGGAGAGGAGGAAAGAAGGAGAGAGAAAGGAAAGAACACACACAGCCCUCCACCCCAUUCCCCUCCCUGAUUUCAGUGCCUGCAUAUUCUUCUGUCCUCGCCAACAACUUUGUGCUAAAUGGCUCUCUAAAGGACAACUUUUAAUUUUAAACACAGUGUUUCUCCAAUUUGGGUUUCUAAGUUUCUGUGAGUUUCUGAGUCUAAAGGCUCAAGUUAUGUCUUGGAGAUCAGGUUCCUGACUUAGAGACUUGGUUAUUUAUUUUUUUCACAAUGUUCCCUCAGUAUAAUAAUUUGUAUUUAGAAAGCUAUAUUCAUUGACAUUGAAAAAUCUAUAAGACUUCAUGUUUUAUAGUUUAAAAUAAAUAACCUUGGGGAACCCUGGGUGGCUCAGUAGUUUAGCGCCUGCCUUUGGCCCAGGACAUCAGGCUCCCUGCAUGGAGCCUGCUUCUCCCUCUGCCUGUG